AGAUAAGAUUACCCACCACCUGUAUAAUUCCUUUCUCACUACUCUAUGUGUGUCCCUCCCAAAGCUGAGUACUUGAUGGAAGAGGAUGGCCAUCCCAGACAGAAACAGUGUACCAAUACUCAGUCAAGGGUUAUAUUUAUAUUUUACAUUUACAUUUAUAUUCUGAUCUUCCUCUAGGAUCUUAAAGUCAU
rnacentral:sRNA from 1 species